CUACGGGAGGCAGCAGUGGGGAAUCUUCCGCAAUGGACGAAAGUCUGACGGAGCAACGCCGCGUGAGUGAUGACGGCCUUCGGGUUGUAAAGCUCUGUUAAUCGGGACGAAAGAGCCUUGUGUGAAUAAUGCGAGGAAGUGACGGUACCGGAAUAGAAAGCCACGGCUAACUACGUGCCAGCAGCCGCGGUAAUACGUAGGUGGCAAGCGUUGUCCGGAAUUAUUGGGCGUAAAGCGCGCGCAGGCGGAUGCGUAAGUCUAUCUUAAAAGUGCGGGGCUUAACCCCGUGAGGGGAUGGAAACUGGGCAUCUAGAGUAUCGGAGAGGAAAGCGGAAUUCCUAGUGUAGCGGUGAAAUGCGUAGAUAUUAGGAAGAACACCAGUGGCGAAGGCGGCUUUCUGGACGACAACUGACGCUGAGGCGCGAAAGCCAGGGGAGCGAACGGGAUUAGAAACCCUUGUAGUCC
rnacentral:rRNA from 1 species